ensembl:lncRNA
GACACCUUCUCCCCACUAUGCAGACACCAACUUGAGUGCUGCUGAGAAGGGAUUCUGCAGAUGUGAUUAAAGCACCUAAACAGUUGAUUAUAAGCUAAUCAGAGAGUAUCUCGGUGGGCCUGACCUAGUCAGUUGGAAGGCCUUUAAAAGCUUAGAAGGUUUCCCUGAGACUCCUGCCUGUGGAGAAGGAUCAGCUGGUGAUCUUGCCCUUGCGAGUCGCUGUUCUGAGGACUUUGCUCUUGCUUAGCAGCCUCACAAUCGGCAGUUACUUAUCUCCUGCUGGUUCUGCUUCUCAGGUGGACCCUGCCUGAUCCACAACUUUCUGCACCUUGGCCUUCCCAUGAGUCGGUGACAGUGUCCUGCAGGCAGGCACAAGCAGAGCUGGCUCGUUCUCUGUGGUGUGGAUGUGCCGUUGGCGUGAUCAGUUGUUCCCCCGUGAGGGGACGUCACCUCACUGCCCACUUGGUAUGCACACGACACUGCAGUCAGAGCCCUUCCGUAAAUGCUGGCUAGCACGUCCCAUAAACUUGAGAGCCAGGUCCCUACAGGUUUAGAUGUUAGUCCUCUCACAGGACUGGAGGUUUUGCAAGGCUUCAGUGUCCAGGCGAUUCCAGGGUUCUGGCCUCACUCCCUUCCCACCCUCCAGUCUCCUGCCAGGGCUCCCAUUGGCCAGACCCAGCUGGAAGCCAGCAGUCAUGAAAAUCCACUGAGGAGGCCACAUGGGCCUGGGUGGUGACGGGGGCAGGUGUCGGAGAGGGGUGAACCUGGAGGAGCAAAUGUGAGUGGGCAGCAUUCGCUCUCCCGCCCAGCAUGUUCUUCCUCACGCUGCCGGCUGUGCUCCCACUAACUUGGAGCCCGCCAUGCCACACUGGCUGCAGCUGGUGCCUCUGAAACUGUCUGAAAAUUAGCCCUUGGCCUGUCCACUGCCCUCAGGCUAAGAUCUCAGACAAAGAGGUAAGAAAAGGGAAGUCUGGUUUUCGAGAUGCCACAUGAAAGGUCUCUUAGGCUGUCUAAAGUCUAAAGUCGUUCCUGUGGCCGCAAGUUGCUGCACUCUGCGGGCGGAGGCCGGUGUUCCUUCCAGGCCCGUGUCCUCCCUGCUGGAUCCCGCCCAGGUUGCCCGGCGCCGUCCGCGGUGCUGAAUUCCCGCAGGAGCCUCAGCUGAGACAGGUUGCCUGGGCAGGGGUGAAGAGCCAGCUGGUUGCCACAUACGACACAGUGUAGACCAGGACCUGCUGCCAGGCCUGCGUUCUCCGUGCUGUUUACAAGGUCCAAGUUAAAGAGGAUCGGCGACUCUGUGCGAAAGGAUCCCAGGAAUGGGUUUCAGAACCUGUUCCUCACAGAAACCAUAAAACUGGAGCCCCCCAGAGGAGCUCUGCGGGUUCUGCUGCAGACAGACGCAGCCUCUCAGCUUUCAUUCCGUGUGAAUGUGCCAGAAACUGCCACCCCACAAACCACGUUCCUGGGCUUCUCCCCCAGUGAGAUUGAGUGUGACAAAGAAUGACGCCCAUCUCCAUUCUCCCCAGUGUCCUGCGUCCAUACUUCAUCGCUCUUCCUCCCUGGGGAGGGCUCCAGCUUCGCUGCUGGAGGUUCCCCACUGGGGAUCUGAGCUCAUGUUCCCGAGCUUGAGCAAACGAAGGCUCCAGAGUCCCUCCCUCGAGACCCGUCCCCACCCCUGCACAGGCUCAGCCUUAGGGCUGCCUUCUCCUCAUCGGUCCCCACUGAGGAAAACAAGCCAAACCAGGAAGAGCAGAUCCCAUCUUUUCUGUUCUGAAUUAAAGGAAAUACUGAAGUAAUAAGGGAGCGUGCAGUUUCACGUCAAUGUCUGUGAAUCCGAAAGUUC